rnacentral:rRNA from 1 species
GCUAGUUGUAUUAUUAGUUAAUGCAAGAUCGACUACGUCGACUAAAGUUCUAGGUAGAAUAAUGAUGAUGACAAUUUUUUACCUAUAUGUCUUGACCAAGUCUCGUGCCAGCAGUCGCGGUAAUACGUGGAAGACUAGUGUUAUUCAUCUUUAUUAGGUUUAAAGGGUACCUAGACGGUAUUUCUAGCCCAAAAUAGGGUACGGAUUUACUAGAGUUUUAUGUGAGGAGGGGAGUACUCGUGGAGUAGAGAUGAAAUUUUGUUAUACUAUGAGGUAACUGGUGGCGGCGAAAGCAACCUUCUAUGUAUAAACUGACGUUGAGGGACGAAGGCUUGGGUAGCAAAUAGGAUUAGAUACCCUAGUAGUCCAAGCAGACAAUUCUGAAUGCCAUAGAUUAGAUUAUUUUUGGUCUAUAAAUGAAAGUGUAAGCAUUCCACCUUAGGAGUAAUGUGGCAACACAGGAACUGAAAUCAUUAGACCGUUUCUGAAACCAGUAGUGAAGUAUGUUAUUUAAAUUGAUGGUCCACAAAAAACCUUACCACAACUUGAAUAUUUUUUAAUUAAUACAAGCGUUGCACGGCUGUCUUCAGUUAAUGUCGUGAGAUUUUGGUUAACUCCAUUAAUUAACGUAAACCCUUACUUUA